rnacentral:misc_RNA from 1 species
AAGUCGUAACAAGGUUUCCGUAGGGGAACCUGCGGAAGGAUCAUUAACGUUUUGUUUGUUGUAUUUUUAUAACAUGACAAUAUGUAAAUAUCCUAAAUUAUUAAAGAGAUGUUACAUCAUCUCGCGUCGUAUACGUAUACAAGACAUUGACUGGUAUAUAAAUCCGCACCACGAGUCUAAUACGUUACGUUCGUUAAUUCUUUUGACCAUCUAGCGGUGGGUCACCAUUGUUUUUUAACAAAAAAACUUAUACUCUUUAAAAAUGUAACAAUUAAGUCAAGGUGUAAUACGUUGACAAAACUAUUACCCUGGACGGUGGAUCACUUGGCUCGCGG